rnacentral:rRNA from 2 species
GCGGCAACAGCUCAAAUUUGAAAUCUGUCCCUCUGCGGGCCCGAGUUGUACUUUGGAGAGGACGCUUCUGGCGCGGCGCCGGCCGAGUGCCCUGGAACGGGCCGCCGGAGAGGGUGAGAGCCCCGUACGGCCGGCCGCCUAGCCUCUGCGAAGCUCCUUCGACGAGUCGAGUAGUUUGGGAAUGCUGCUCAAAAUGGGAGGUAAAUUUCUUCUAAAGCUAAAUACCGGCCAGAGACCGAUAGCGCACAAGUAGAGUGAUCGAAAGAUGAAAAGCACUUUGAAAAGAGGGUUAAACAGUACGUGAAAUUGCUGAAAGGGAAGCGCCUGUGGCCAGACUUGCGCCCCGCGGACCACCCGGCGCCCGCGCCGGGGCACGCCGCGGGGCGCAGGCCAGCAUCGGCUCUCCCAGGGGGACAAAGGCCGCGGGAACGUAGCGCCCUCGGGCGUGUUACAGCCCGCGGCGCCAUGCCCCUGGGGGGGCCGAGGACCGCGCUCCGGCAAGGAUGCUGGCGUAAUGGCCACCGGCGACCCGUCUUGAAACACGGACCAAGGAGUCAAGCAGUGGGGCGAGUGUCUGGGUGGCAAACCCGCACGCGGAAUGAAAGUGAACGCAGGUGGGAGCUUCGGCGCACCACCGACCGAUCCUGAUGUCUUCGGAUGGAUUUGAGUAGGAGCCUUGCCGCUUGGACCCGAAAGAUGGUGAACUAUGCCUGUAUAGGGUGAAGCCAGAG